CAGCCGAUCCGCAUGUACACAGGUGGUGUUCCCAGGCACAGAGGACGCAAACGGGCUUCGCAGCUCAUUAAACAGCGAGUGGGCCCCGGGAGACAGAAUACUGAAAGAUUCUAUCAACCCUUCUAGAGAAAUGCUUUCAGGAAUUUGUGUUUGCUCUACAAGAUUAUUGAUCUCAUACAUGUUAUUGAGAGGCUGGGUUGUUUUCAUAUACUUCAAACACAACUACAUACCUCAACAGACGGAAUGCAGAAGCAGACGAGAACCUAGCUGUCUUCUACCAAGCCAGACAUUUGAGAUUUGCAAAAAUGUAAAUGAAGUCCCUCCUCUCACUACAUAUCCUUUUGGAAACUGUAACUUCUUUCAUAAAAAUAUGUUAUUUCUAUCAAUAUGU